rnacentral:rRNA from 1 species
UACGAAGGGUGCAAGCGUUACUCGGAAUUACUGGGCGUAAAGCGUGCGUAGGUGGUUCGUUAAGUCCGAUGUGAAAGCCCUGGGCUCAACCUGGGAAUGGCAUUGGAUACUGGCGGGCUAGAGUGCGGUAGAGGAUAGUGGAAUUCCUGGUGUAGCAGUGAAAUGCGUAGAGAUCAGGAGGAACAUCCGUGGCGAAGGCGACUGUCUGGACCAGCACUGACACUGAGGCACGAAAGCGUGGGGAGCAAACAGGAUUAGAUACCCUGGUAGUCCACGCCCUAAACGAUGCGAACUGGAUGUUGGGCUCAACUUGGAGCUCAGUAUCGAAGCUAACGCGUUAAGUUCGCCGCCUGGGGAGUACGGUCGCAAGACUGAA